AUUGAACGCUGGCGGCAUGCCUUACACAUGCAAGUCGAACGGUAACAGGUCUUCGGAUGCUGACGAGUGGCGAACGGGUGAGUAAUACAUCGGAACGUGCCCGAGAGUGGGGGAUAACGAGGCGAAAGCUUUGCUAAUACCGCAUACGAUCUCAGGAUGAAAGCAGGGGACCGCAAGGCCUUGCGCUCACGGAGCGGCCGAUGGCAGAUUAGGUAGUUGGUGGGAUAAAAGCUUACCAAGCCGACGAUCUGUAGCUGGUCUGAGAGGACGACCAGCCACACUGGGACUGAGACACGGCCCAGACUCCUACGGGAGGCAGCAGUGGGGAAUUUUGGACAAUGGGCGCAAGCCUGAUCCAGCCAUGCCGCGUGCAGGAUGAAGGCCUUCGGGUUGUAACUGCUUUUGUACGGAACGAAAAGACUUCUUCUAAUAAAGGGGGUCCAUGACGGUACCGUAAGAAUAAGCACCGGCUAACUACGUGCCAGCCGCCGCGGUAAUAC
rnacentral:rRNA from 1 species